GGUGGUAUGGUCUAGUGGUAUGACGUCGCGUUGUGGCUGGCGAACACCUAGUGUUCCGAUCCAGAUCCGCGCCAGCCCGUGUUCGAUUCACGGUACCGCCA
rnacentral:tRNA from 1 species